AUUGAACGCUGGCGGCAUGCUUUACACAUGCAAGUCGAACGGUAACAGGUUAAGCUGACGAGUGGCGAACGGGUGAGUAAUGCAUCGGAACGUGCCCGGUCGUGGGGGAUAACGCAGCGAAAGCUGCGCUAAUACCGCAUACGAUCUGAGGAUGAAAAAGGGGGACAGGAAGGCUUCGCGCGAUGGGAGCGGCCGAUGUCAGAUUAGGUAGUUGGUGGGGUAAAGGCUCACCAAGCCAACGAUCUGUAGCUGGUCUGAGAGGACGACCAGCCACACUGGGACUGAGACACGGCCCAGACUCCUACGGGAGGCAGCAGUGGGGAAUUUUGGACAAUGGGCGAAAGCCUGAUCCUGCAAUGCCGCGUGCAGGAAGAAGGCCUUCGGGUUGUAAACUGCUUUUGUACGGAGCGAAAAGGUCUCCUCUAAUACAGGGGGCUCAUGACGGUACCGUAAGAAUAAGCACCGGCUAACUACGUGCCAGCCGCCGCUGUAA
rnacentral:rRNA from 1 species